rnacentral:rRNA from 1 species
GGGCCCGCACAAGCGGUGGAUUAUGUGGAUUAAUUCGAUGCAACGCGAAAAACCUUACCUGGCCUUGACAUGUACCGAAUUUAGCAGAGAUGCUUUAGUGCUCGUAAGAGAACGGUAACACAGGUGCUGCAUGGCUGUCGUCAGCUCGUGUCGUGAGAUGUUGGGUUAAGUCCCGCAACGAGCGCAACCCUUGCCAUUAAUUGCCAUCAUUUAGUUGGGCACUUUAAUGGGACUGCCGGUGACAAACCGGAGGAAGGUGGGGAUGACGUCAAGUCCUCAUGGCCCUUAUGGCCAGGGCUUCACACGUAAUACAAUGGAUGGUACAGAGGGACGCCAACCCGCGAGGGGGAGCCAAUCCCAGAAAGCCAUUCGUAGUCCGGAUUGUUGUCUGCAACUCGACAACAUG